GUCCAGACUCCUACGGGAGGCAGCAGUAAGGGAUAUUGGUCAAUGGGGGAAACCCUGAACCAGCAACGCCGCGUGAGGGAAGACGGUUUUCGGAUUGUAAACCUCUUUCCUCUGUGAAGAUGAUGACGGUAGCAGAGGAGGAAGCUCCGGCUAACUACGUGCCAGCAGCCGCGGUAAUACGUAGGGAGCGAGCGUUGUCCGGAUUUACUGGGUGUAAAGGGCGUGCAGCCGGGAAGACAAGUCAGAUGUGAAAUCCCGCGGCUCAACCGCGGAACUGCAUUUGAAACUGUUUUUCUUGAGUACCGGAGAGGUCAUCGGAAUUCCUUGUGUAGCGGUGAAAUGCGUAGAUAUAAGGAAGAACACCAGUGGCGAAGGCGGAUGACUGGACGGCAACUGACGGUGAGGCGCGAAAGCGUGGGGAGCAAACAGGAUUAGAUACCCCUGUAA
rnacentral:rRNA from 1 species